rnacentral:miRNA from 1 species
UCUCCCAUACGGAGAUGGAAGCACCUUCAGUGGUAACCACCACUCUCUCUCUCAUAUGUAG